GACGUAGGGCGCGAGCGUUGUCCGGAUUUAUUGGGCGUAAAGAGCUCGUAGGCGGCUUGUCGCGUCGACUGUGAAAACCCGUGGCUCAACCAUGUGGUCUGCAGUCGAUACGGGCAGGCUAGAAUUCGGUAGGGGAGACUGGAAUUCCUGGUGUAGCGGUGAAAUGCGCAGAUAUCAGGAGGAACACCGGUGGCGAAGGCGGUUCUCUGGGCCUUACCUGACGCUGAGGAGCGAAAGCGUGGGGAGCGAACAGG
rnacentral:rRNA from 1 species